CCUACGGGUGGCAGCAGUCGAGAAUUUUUCACAAUGGGGGAAACCCUGAUGGAGCGACGCCGCGUGGGGGAUGAAUGGCUUCGGCCCGUAAACCCCUGUCAUUUGCGAACAAACCUUGGCCCUGAACAGGGGCCGAGCUGAUAGUAGCAGAAGAGGAAGGGACGGCUAACUCUGUGCCAGCAGCCGCGGUAAGACAGAGGUCCCAAGCGUUGUUCGGAUUCACUGGGCGUAAAGGGUGCGUAGGCGGCAAGGUAAGUUUGUGGUGAAAUCUCCGGGCUCAACCCGGAAAUAGCCUCGAAUACUAUCUUGCUAGAGGAUCGGAGGGGAGACUGGAAUUCUCGGUGUAGCAGUGAAAUGCGUAGAUAUCGAGAGGAACACCAGUGGCGAAGGCGAGUCUCUGGACGAUUCCUGACGCUGAGGCACGAAAGCCAGGGGAGCAAACGGGAUUAGAUACCCCUGUAGUC
rnacentral:rRNA from 1 species